GCAUUAGUGAUUCAGUGGUAGAAUUCUCACCUUCCACGCAGGAGACCUGGGUUAGAUUCCCAGCCAAUGUA
rnacentral:tRNA from 1 species